GCGGUGAUUGCUACGGUAACGCGGCCGGUAGUCCUGCGAUGGCGUGCACCAGAGAGGAGGUGGCCUUCCAUGCCUCACCGGCUGAGGCCAGCCGCGAACCUGGCGUGUCCUGGUCUGCCCGGGGCUCCAGCCUCCGACCCGCCAUGCACAUGGACAUCCAAGCCGUGUCCUGCGGCCUCCCGUGGGAUUCUUCCUCCAGAAUGAGAUCCUCUGAUUCCAGGUACCAUACAAAGAUGUUUACAAGAAAUGCAGAGGUAAAACAGCUGCUCCGAAAGCCAACCUUUUGUGUCCUUAACGGCAGAGUGUCAGUUAAAUCGCCCCAGCGCCCGGAAGCUUUUAUUCAUGUUUACACUGCUGUGAGUAGUUAUAAAUAAAUAAACC
rnacentral:lncRNA from 1 species